AACGAACGCUGGCGGCAGGCUUAACACAUGCAAGUCGAACGCCCCGCAAGGGGUGUUGCGCACGGGUGAGUAACGCGUGGAUAUCUUCCCUCUGGUUCGGAAUAACCCCGGGAAACUGGGGCUAAUACCGGACGGUUCCUACGGGAUAAGGGUUGAUCGCCAAAAGUUGAGUCCGCGUACGAUUAGCUAGUUGGUGAGGUAAUGGCGCACCAAGGCGACGAUCGUUAGCUGGUCUGAGAGGACGAUCAGCCACACUGGGACUGAGACACGGCCCAGACUCCUACGGAAGGCAGCAGUAGGGAGUAUUAGACAAUGGGGGCAAACGUGAUCCAGCCAUGCCGCGUGAGUGAUGAAGGCCUUCGGGUUGUAAAGCUCUUUUGGCGGGGACGAUGAUGACGGUACCCGCAGAAUAAGCCCCGGCUAACUUCGUG
rnacentral:rRNA from 1 species